UACGGAGGGUGCAAACGUUGCUCGGAAUCAUUGGGCGUAAAGCGCACGUAGGCGGCCUGUUAAGUCGGAUGUGAAAGCCCAAGGCUCAACCUUGGAAGUGCAUUCGAAACUGGCGGGCUUGAAUAUGGACGAGGGUCGCGGAAUUCCCGGUGUAGAGGUGAAAUUCGUAGAUAUCGGGAGGAACACCAGUGGCGAAGGCGGCGACCUGGGCCAAUAUUGACGCUAAGGUGCGAAAGCGUGGGGAGCAAACAGG
rnacentral:rRNA from 1 species